rnacentral:rRNA from 1 species
GUGGGGAAUAUUCCGCAAUGGACGAAAGUCUGACGGAGCAACGCCGCGUGAGUGAUGAAGGUUUUCGGACUGUAAAGCUCUGUUGUUUAGGACGAAAGUGCCUGUUGCAAAUAGUUACAGGUAUUGACGGUACUGAACGAGGAAGCCACGGCUAACUACGUGCCAGCAGCCGCGGUAAUACGUAGGUGGCAAGCGUUGUCCGGAAUUAUUGGGCGUAAAGAGCAUGUAGGCGGGAAUCUAAGUCUGUUGUGAAAAUGCGGGGCUCAACCCCGUAUGGCGAUGGAAACUGGAUUUCUUGAGUGCAGGAGAGGAAAGGGGAAUUCCCAGUGUAGCGGUGAAAUGCGUAGAUAUUGGGAGGAACACCAGUGGCGAAGGCGCCUUUCUGGACUGUGUCUGACGCUGAGAUGCGAAAGCCAGGGUAGCGAACGGGAUUAGAAACCCGGGUAGUCC